AACCCCAUCAGCUACAAAAGAACAGAACAAAUCUGCUGUUUCCUUCCUGUUAACUACUUAAACCAAAACCUGAAAGUUUCACUCUGGGGCUGAGGACUGCAAUUGCCAUUCCUGGGAAACGUGGCAGAGGGAGGGAUCUGAGCUGGUGUUUUUUUCUUUUAAAGUAGAAAUCCAAAUUGCCUUUGUUGAGCCAGGGGGGUCGGCAGUGGAAAAACAUCAAGGCAGCAGCAAAGCAGCUCCUGCUGACUCAACAGAGCCCUCACCCUGCUCACUGCUGAGCAUCCAAAAGCAGCACACAGCAACUCUUUGUCUUGACCUAUAAGUAAGAGUGCUCAGACAUACGCAAGGAGAAGGAAAAAAAAAAAAACCCAAAAACAACCCAAACACAACUGAAACAAAUAAUUACGCCUGCUGACAGGACUCAAUCUAAUUACAGCUCCAAUCUCGAGCCCUGCCCAAGAGGAGGAGUGCACAGCAGCACUCGAUGUGGCAAAUUUUGCUGCAGCUUUGUCCCACAGACCAGCAGAGCAGGGAGGGAUCCACCCCUGGAUCACGGCAGCUUAUUGCAUCAGGCACUGCUGCAGGAAGAUAGGCUGCUCCCUCUCCAUAGGCUGAGUCCCUUAGGUUUAAUUAAACCACUUCUCCUGGAGCUGCCAGACACAGACUCCUGCAUCCAGAGGCAUCAACCACCCCGAUCUUUGUUAUCCCCUCCCUUUCCUCCUGUGAGAAUAUCUCUGGGAAUUACUACAGCCAGUUGUACAACACAAUAUGUGUGGCCCCAGCUGGACAAUUUUUUUUUCCCUUGGUGCCCCACAUCCCAGUUUAAACCCCUGAAAAGAAGGGGUGCGUUGGUACUCACAGGCAAAUGACAGCACCCAGGAUUUUAAACUAAAUAAAUUGGCUGGUUCUAGAGAUCAUUGCUUUAUUUACAAGCAGCUCUCUUGCCAAGGCAUUAUGCUGUACAGUGAUUCAUAAUAAAAACUCACUGAAGUGCUGGCAUAAUUAGAGGGCCAUAAAUCCACUCAUUUAAUGGGGAAACACACGCACAAAUCUGCGAAUACAAGGGACACACGCAUAGCUAAGGAGAAUAAUAUGGAUUCAGCCACUUAAAGGAGGCACAUGGGGGACACACAGGUCUGGCAGGUGGUGAAGAGAGGAAAAGGAACUGCGCAAGAUCCAUUACCGUACACAGCCGGAGUGCCAAGGUUUAUUUAGGAAACGAAGAGACAACCAAACCCUUCUCAGGUACGAGGGGUUAUAGAGGUAAAAGGAGGGAGAUGGGAUGAGAAUGCGAUGCAGCCCCAGCCAAAAGGACACAUCACCCACCUAGAUUAAUGAGAAUGAUGAAAUGGAAAAUACGCAAAGGAAUUACCAUCCCUUACUGCAUCAGGCAAAUAUGCAACUCCAGAGAAUGUCAUUUACCUCCGAAACUCAGCUCGGAGGGGACAUCACCGAGUGACCCCGAAGGGACGAGGGACACGAGGAGGGGCCCUAGGGCAGGGCACGGGGAGCCAGCCCGGGCGCAGCCAGCCCGGGAGGGGACACCCAGAAGGCUUCCUCCCCUCCUCAGUGGCAGAGGCUUGGUCCCCAGGGCAGGACUGCAGGAUGGAGAUGGGCCAGACUGGUGUCUUGAGCCUUUUCCCCUGGAUGAAAUCCUGCCUUGCACAGGGUGCUGACCCCUGCAACGCCUCUCCUUGGAAAAAAAAAAACAUGCCUGGGACCAGUUCCAGCACUGUCACCAGCUGGAAGAGAGUUAUCAAAUCUGUGAGGGCAUGGGAAUGCUGCAUGUGAAGAUUUGGGAUCCCCAAGCAUGAGCACCUGCAGCCCUGAUGUCUACAGCUCAGCCCAUCCUCAUCCUCUCUGCUCUUCUCACCAGGGGACGGUCAGGGACUCACAGAUUUACUUCCAUAUCACUGACAAGCCACAACACCUGUUCUCCAGAGACUGGGACCACCAAAAAGUCUGAUCUGUUUGGUCACACCCUCCCAACAGCUCGGACCCUGAUGAUCUCCCAGGUCUGGGUGUGCAAGAGCUCUGAUGGAAAUUCAUUAUGAUUUCCUGACCCUUCCCCUGCCAUGAAUUUAAAUUUCCCAAA